rnacentral:rRNA from 1 species
GACGAACGCUGGCGGCGUGCUUAACACAUGCAAGUCGAACGGAAAGGCCCUGCUUUUGUGGGGUGCUCGAGUGGCGAACGGGUGAGUAACACGUGAGUAACCUGCCCUUGACUUUGGGAUAACUUCAGGAAACUGGGGCUAAUACCGGAUAGGAGCUCCUGCUGCAUGGUGGGGGUUGGAAAGUUUCGGCGGUUGGGGAUGGACGCGCGGCUUAUCAGCUUGUUGGUGGGGUAGUGGCUUACCAAGGCUUUGACGGGUAGCCGGCCUGAGAGGGUGACCGGCCACAUUGGGACUGAGAUACGGCCCAGACUCCUCCGGGAGGCAGCAGUGGGGAAUAUUGCACAAUGGGCGGAAGCCUGAUGCAGCAACGCCGCGUGCGGGAUGACGGCCUUCGGGUUGUAAACCGCUUUCGCCUGUGACGAAGCGUGAGUGACGGUAAUGGGUAAAGAAGCACCGGCUAACUACGUG